rnacentral:rRNA from 1 species
AUUGAACGCUGGCGGCAGGCCUAACACAUGCAAGUCGAGCGGAUGAGAAGAGCUUGCUCUUCGAUUCAGCGGCGGACGGGUGAGUAAUACCUAGGAAUCUGCCUGGUAGUGGGGGACAACGUUUCGAAAGGAACGCUAAUACCGCAUACGUCCUACGGGAGAAAGCAGGGGACCUUCGGGCCUUGCGCUAUCAGAUGAGCCUAGGUCGGAUUAGCUAGUUGGUGAGGUAAUGGCUCACCAAGGCUACGAUCCGUAACUGGUCUGAGAGGAUGAUCAGUCACACUGGAACUGAGACACGGUCCAGACUCCUACGGGAGGCAGCAGUGGGGAAUAUUGGACAAUGGGCGAAAGCCUGAUCCAGCCAUGCCGCGUGUGUGAAGAAGGUCUUCGGAUUGUAAAGCACUUUAAGUUGGGAGGAAGGGCAGUAAGCGAAUACCUUGCUGUUUUGACGUUACCGACAGAAUAAGCACC